UCUGUGUGAGUCUAUUUAAUGGGCCUAAAUAAGACAUCCGGACCGGGGCCAGACUCUGGCACGCUGGGCUGGCCUGGUCAGUAGUGAGGCUGGGUCUGAUUCCCUUCAUUACUUCAAACCUUCAUAGUGCACUACCUAGGAACUAAUCUGGUGUGGGACCACUCACAUCCAGUCUCUUUUUUCAAAGAUGAAUGCAGAACACAGAGAGAGAGAGAGAGAAGUGCGUUGGACCAGACACCCCUGCUCAUAUCUUGUCUCAAAGGGAUCUGUACGAACGAGCGAGAGAGAGAGGGAGAGCGAGGCAGAGAGAGGAAAAGAGAGGGAGGAGGAAAAAACACUGGGUGCAGGACCCACACGCUGUAGUUCCAGCCAAUUGCAUUUCAGAGAAGUGACCAUGGCUAGCGAUAAACAAAGCACAAUAGAUCAUUUCUCUCAGAGCUGGAGCCCAGCGCUGGAGGCUGCGGAAGGAAGGACAGAGAGAGGGAAAGAGAGAGAGCACAAUCUAUGCACCGGCUUGGGCUAUUCUCCAACACUCAAUUCUUUAAGCCUUUUUUCUUUUUGAAUGCUAUUAAGCCAGCCGUGUUGCAUGACUGCUGCACUUUGCACAUGAAGAGAGACAGAGAGAGAAGGAGAAUAUCACUCACCCGUUUCACUGAGACAGGAGCCGUGCAGCCA